AGCUCAUUAUAACUUGUUAGAAAUUGGUAUGCAUGUGCUGGUGUGUGUAUGCACGGAGGAGAGAGAUGGACUAUUAUUUCUCGUUUGGAUGAAUUUCUGCUCACUCUUACGUUAGCCAAAGCUGGCUUUCAAGGAGUAGGAGAGAGGUUGCUGUAUGAAAAAGGAAAGCCCCUCCCUCUGAAUUAGUUGUAUCUGGCUUGGUGAUCCCCUUUUGACUGCAGAGUUAAUAACAGCCAGGUGCAACCAAUAAAAGGCUCCUUGCCUGAGCUCUUGGAGCUAGCAUGAGAACAGAGCUUGGUUUUCUAAAAGUUGCUGCAGCUUACACAUGUCGGUUCACUGUUGACGAGCAUUGCUGCAGAGAUAACGAUGUAUGAGACAAAAGAAGUCAGAAGAAGGUCCCUCACAGGAGCUUUGAAAGAUGUACUUCUCGUUCUCCCACUCAGUCCUUCCAGGGAGGUUACAUGAUGUCCUAUCAAGCAAUUGUUAUCCAACACCUUCCAGUGAAUUUUUCCAUCACUUUCCUUACUGCAAAAAGACCAUUUUUGUUUUUGUGCAGGAGCACCACAUCUUGAAUUGUGCAACCCAAGUUUGAUGGUAUGAGACCGAAUCCAUCUACAAAACAAUGACAAUCUGGAAGUGGCUCCAGUCCUUUUCUUGCUACUACAUUUUGCCAUUGCAACUUCUAUUUGUAAUAACUGUUUUACAGGUGUUCUCUUGCAAAACCUCUUAGGUUGAACAGAUUUACAAGGAUUUCUGGCAAAUGCCACUCAUUGUUGGUUUGAUCUUGCAUGCCAGCUCUUGUAAUCUCAUCCUAUUUGUAAAUCCCAUUAUUGAGAAAGGAAAAGUCAAUAGGGGAAGGGGGAUUAGAGGAAGUCAGAAGACAGGUCUACCCUUGUGUUGGCAGCUGACUCCCAGUGGGGUAGAGUGGAAUUUUGUUCUGGUUAUCUUGAUUGAUUUGGCUGUAAAAAGAUGUCUCCCUCCUGCUUUCCAUCCCAAAUGUAAAUGCCAGCAAGCACACAAUUAUCUGAGAGCUUUACAUAAACAGAACCAAUUAGCAUUUGCUCUGCAGAUAUUUGAUUUGUACAUAUAUGUGGCCAUGAUAAUCAAGCUGGCCAAUUAGAUGUGCAAUUUGUUGUCCACUUGUAUUAAAUGUUUAUGUGCUGAAGCAUAAAGCCAGUGGACAGAGUCUUCCUUUUCCCCCUAUUUUAUUGCUCUUGCACUUGUAGAACUCUUGAUGGGAUAACAGGCCAGGAAAUGCUUCCUGCAGGCAGACCACUGGCUAAAUUGUCUCCCUCCUGGGAAUAGCUGGCAAACCCUUCCAAGCAGCCAGGCUUGUGGUCUUGUGUGUGCAUUUUCAACCAAGCAGAGCCCCUUCCAGCCUCCUUAUAUGGGUCUCUUUUUGCUUGCAAGGCCUUUUUAUUGGUCACGGGAGGAAGCCUCUUUUCCAUUCAUCAAUGCAAAAUAAAUGGAACUUAAAGGCUAAAUUGCAACACUGUGAGCAAUUUCUACAAAUUAUGCAGGAAAGACAGAUACAUUUUCCUCUAGAUUGUGUAAUUAGGAAGGUGGGGGGUGCAGAGAGAAGAUUGCAUUCCACCACAGGCAUGUUUAGACAAAAUGUGUUCCUUUGGGUUACUUUUCAGUCCUUAUUUUGCCCUAAAGGGCAUAUACAACAUCCAGAUACUUCUAAGAGACAAAUGUGGGAUGAUUACAUGUAUCAGUCUAGUGAUGAUAUACUUCUGCAUAAUUCUGCAUCCUUUAUUUGAAGGGCCACCUGGCCCAAACCCUAUUUAAAGAUCAAGAACCAUAUCAAGGGAGAGCCAAGAACUCAGAGUUGCCCAUCAACAGCACCUGGACUGCAGAGUGAGCACAGUUACCUGGUCGCAGUCUUUCCCAUAAUGAUAUAAUGUGUGCAUAGUAUACAUAGUAAACAUAUACAUAUGUGUAUAAUAUAUAGUGUAGAAAUGUAUAGUAUUUCUGUUUAAGUUACAGUAAUUAUUUCUAAAUUACAUCUAUACCUAUUAAUUAGCAUAAGCAUAUUUAUGCAAAUUGAUGUCCUCUUUUGUCCUCUUUUUUGGGGGGGCAAUGAUGCAUAAGUGGCCACCCUAAUGCAUAAGCAUUCAUUUCAAGCUCUGCACAUAUAUCUACACAAUAUUUGUGAACCAGCCUGAAACUAGUUAAAUUAUCUUGGGUUCCACCAAAAAGUUCUGAGGGUUGCA